rnacentral:ncRNA from 1 species
CAGCGGGUGUAAAUCCCGCCCGGCAGCUUUCGCUCCAGCCGGUAACAAUAGAAGCAGUCGUGGAGGUAACGAAUCGGCUGGAGCCUCCGGUGAAGAGGGCCAUGAAAGUGACUCGGUGAGUAUGCAGGCCAUAACGUGA